GAUGAGCGCUGGCGGCGUGCCUAAUACAUGCAAGUCGAGCGAACAGACGAGGAGCUUGCUCCUCUGACGUUAGCGGCGGACGGGUGAGUAACACGUGGAUAACCUACCUAUAAGACUGGGAUAACUUCGGGAAACCGGAGCUAAUACCGGAUAAUAUAUUGAACCGCAUGGUUCAAUAGUGAAAGACGGUUUUGCUGUCACUUAUAGAUGGAUCCGCGCCGCAUUAGCUAGUUGGUAAGGUAACGGCUUACCAAGGCAACGAUGCGUAGCCGACCUGAGAGGGUGAUCGGCCACACUGGAACUGAGACACGGUCCAGACUCCUACGGGAGGCAGCAGUAGGGACUCUUCCGCAAUGGGCGAAAGCCUGACGGAGCAACGCCGCGUGAGUGAUGAAGGUCUUCGGAUCGUAAAACUCUGUUAUUAGGGAAGAACAAAUGUGUAAGUAACUAUGCACGUCUUGACGGUACCUAAUCAGAAAGCCACGGCUAACUACGUG
rnacentral:rRNA from 1 species